GACGAACGCUGGCGGCGUGCUUAACACAUGCAAGUCGAACGGAAAGGCCUCUUUCGGGGGGUACUCGAGUGGCGAACGGGUGAGUAACACGUGAGUAACCUGCCCUUGACUUUGGGAUAACUUCCGGAAACUGGGGCUAAUACCGGAUAGGAGCUCCUGCUGCAUGGUGGGGGUUGGAAAGUUUCGGCGGUUGGGGGUGGACUCGCGGCUUAUCAGCUUGUUGGUGGGGUAGUGGCUUACCAAGGCUUUGACGGGUAGCCGGCCUGAGAGGGUGACCGGCCACAUUGGGACUGAGGUACGGCCCAGACUCCUACGGGAGGCAGCAGUGGGGAAUAUUGCACAAUGGGUGGAAGCCUGGUGCAGCAACGCCGGGUGCGGGAUGACGGCCUUCGGGUUGUAAACCGCUUUCGCUCAUGACGAAGCUUUGUGUGACGGUAGUGGGUAAAGAAGCACCGGCUAACUACGUG
rnacentral:rRNA from 1 species